GCGUCCUCACACUGACCUGCCGGUCCUCCCGCGAAUGCUCCUGCGCCUGGGCCUGGGUCUCUCACGCAGAAUGCACAUGGCACACAACUGUGAUCCCGCUAGUUCCUGCACCAAUAAAAAAAUACUAGUCAACGGAGAAAUAUUUGUACCGUAUGUACAGAUUAAUGGUCAUAUCCUUAAACACAGAAAAAGAAAAAUGAACCCAACUUUCAAAAAUGGGCAACACCCUUAUGCUGGCAAUCCACAAAGAAGAACCAUAAAUGGCUGAUAAUCACACAUUCCACUAGGAACUCAAGAAAUGCAACUUAAAUCAACAAGGAAAGAAAUUCUUUAGCUAUCAUUUUCAGCUAAAAACUUUUCCCACACUGCUGGUGGGAUAAUAAAUUAACAUCAGUCGAGGGUCAAAUUGGCAACACCUGGCAAGAAUUUGCAAUCAUUUGGUAUCUGUGAACUUACCUUGAGGAAAUAAUGAUCGAGAUCCAGAGAGAGUUUCGAGCAUUCACGGCCUGAUGCUUGUAACAGUGGAGAACUGGGCUCAACCUAAUGCCCAACCACAGGGGAUCGUUGACAAAAGUCAACGCACCUCCACACUAUGAAGAACUUAUACCUUUACACCGUGAGAGAUACAAUGUUCACCGAUACGAAAACUGUCCACAAUUUAUUGGUUGGUGAAAACAUAGUUUAAAUACUAAACUGCAUUUCCUGCUAAUGCUCGCGGCUGAAGAUGAUUGGAUUUUAACAAGAGCUUUUUGGAUCAAGCGCCGGGCCUUCCUGGACUGUACAUUUUGCAAGCGCCACUGUCAUUAAAGGUUACCGGCACCUCCAUUA